GCCACAUUUUUUUAUUGUAAAAUAUAUACAACAGAAAAUUUGCCGUCUUAACCAUUUUUAAGUUGUGCAGAUGAGUAACAGAACAUUCACACUGUUAAACUACCAUCACUACUAUCUAGAACUUUACAUCCUCCAAACAAACUAGCCAUUAUGCAGUGAUUCCCCACUCUCUCUUCCUUUAGCCCAUUUUUCUAGGUAAAUGUUUUUCUGCUUUCUGUUUCUAAGAAUUUUACUGUUCUAGGUACUUAAUAUAAGUAGAAUCAUACAGUACUUGUGCUUUAGUGCCUCUUUUUUCACUUAACAUGUCUUCAGGAUUCGUCCAUAUUAUAACAUGUAUCAGAAUUUUAUUCCUUUUUAGAGCUGAAUAAUAUUCCAUAACAUGUAUUUUCCACGUUUUGUUGAUCCAUUCACCCAGUGAAUAUUUGGGUUGUUUCUGUCUUUUGGCUAUUGUGAAUAAUGCUGCUUUUAAUAUUGAUGUAUAAAUACCUGUUCAAGUGCCUGCUUUUACUGCCUUUUGGUAUGUACCCAGAAGUGGAAUUGUGGUUCUCACGGUUGCACCUGAGAAAAGCACAGGAGCCAGGAGACCACACUGCUAAGUAGCCAGGCUCUGGUUCUGCCUCAACGAUUUGGGGCAAGUUACUACUGAGAUUCAUUGUCCUUCUCUGGAAGAUGGGGAAUCAUCCCUGCUUCACAGACUAUGUAUGGAAAAUACUUUACCCAGGACCUGAAACAUUAAAUGCUUAUUUUUGCCCACACCUUCCAUUGGGCCAAGAGUGAAGGGCUAUUUAAGAAUUAGGCAUAAAACUAGGAUAGUCAAGCAAACUAGGUGCUCAUGAACAAAUGUCUGAUUUCUAGGCAAACUUUGCACUUGGAUGCUUUUUCCUCAUUUGAUCUAUAGGAGCCUCACUUAUUGACAAAGCUACUUGAACACCUUUUCCAAAGAUAGAGCCAAAAUCUUUUAAGACAUCAUAAAUGACAAGUUUGGCUGUCUUUUUUUUUUUUCUUAAGAUUUUAUUUAUUUAAGAGAAUGAGAGCAGAGAGAGA